rnacentral:rRNA from 1 species
CACCGGCGGCUCGAGUGGUAACCGUUAUUAUUGGGUCUAAAGGGUCUGUAGCCGGCCGGAUAAGUCUCUUGAGAAAUCCAGCAGCUCAACUGUUGGGCUUUCAGGAGAUACUGUUCGGCUCGAGGCCGGGAGAGGUGAGAGGUACUUCAGGGGUUGGGGUGAAAUCUUGUAAUCCUUGAAGGACCACCAGUGGCUGCUGGCAC